UACGUAGGGGCUAGCGUUGUCCGGAAUCAUUGGGCGUAAAGCGCGUGUAGGCGGUUCGGUAAGUCCGCUGUGAAAGUCGGGGGCUCAACCCUCGAAUGCCGGUGGAUACUGUCGGACUAGAGUACGGAAGAGGCGAGUGGAAUUCCUGGUGUAGCGGUGAAAUGCGCAGAUAUCAGGAGGAACACCAAUUGCGAAGGCAGCUCGCUGGACGUUACUGACGCUGAGACGCGAAAGCGUGGGAGCAAACAGG
rnacentral:rRNA from 1 species